CGAUUCCCCACCCCGCGCCCGCAGCCCCCCCCCCCGUCCUCCCGGCCGCAGCCGAGCACAGCCGCCGCGCCCACAAAUCACGCGACUCCCGCUUCCAUGUCCUCGCGUCCUCCAUUGCAGCCGCAUACAUAGCGUCGCCCCUUCCAUCGAUGGCAGCCAGCCGCGCCCGCAAAUCACGCGACUCCCCCUUCCAUGGCGUCGCCCCCUUCCAUCCAUGGCAGGUCCGCGCCCCUACGCCCCAAAUCACGCGGAUGGAAGGGGUCGCGAGGGAGUCUCUCUCUGGACGCGCCCGUCGCCGCCUCCAAGCUCAGGAGGGAGCGGCGCCCGGCCCCCGCGAGCGUGAACCCGGGGCCACAAUGCUUGAGGCGGAGGAGGGGCCUGGCGGUUCGCUGCCAGACGGGGUCCACCGCAGCGCCCUUCCUCAGGACGGAGGAGCCCCCCGCGGCUGCGGCGGGGGCAAGGAAUGCCCAGGCGGGGUUCACCUUCGUCAUGAAGUUCGGCGGCUCGUCGCUCGCGUCAGCCGAGCGGAUGCGGGAGGUGGCCGGCCUCAUCCUUAGCUUCCUCGACGAGAUGCCUGUCGCCGUCCUCUCCGCCAUGGGGAAGACCACCAAUAACCUCCUCCUAGGACCUUCCAUUUCUAGCUCUCAGCGCCUGAGUCAGGGCCGAAGAGAAGGCGGUGAGCUGCGGCGGAGGAGGGGCAUCUGAAAUCCCUGAGCUCGCUGUCAUCAGGGAGCUACAUCUUAGGACAAUUGAUGAGCUCGGUUUAGAUAAGUCGAUUGUUUCAGGUAUGUUGUUGUUUGCUCCACUCUGCUCUUGGAACGCCUCAGUUGUUCCUCUUGCUCUAUCAUGAAUGCUUCUGUUAUACAAUGGGAUGUCGUUCUCUUGGAUGUGCCAAAGUUUUCUCUCCCCUUAGUCUGAAUAACAAUUCCUGGUGGAUGUAUGUAUGUAUUCUCUUGGAUGUGCGAAAGUUUUCCCCUUGGAUGUGCGAAACACAUUUACUCCUCACCGCAAUCUGCGCCUCCACUCUCGACCCCUCCUCCUUCCUCCUCUCCCUAGGGACCCUUCUCCCCAACACGCAGGGGUAGCGUAGGAGGUGUUGUGGCGGCAUUAUCUAGGAAGCGGUCUGUGGACAUGAGGCAGAUCAACCCGAAGGUGCCUAAGGAGGAGGCUGUCACCAUCUCCGGUCGACUCGUCCAGAUCCUCUCCGACCAUGGGCCCCUCACCAUCGGCAACACCUAGAACAACACGAAGGUACCCAAUCAACCAGUCAGUCAGGCAGAGUGGCAAAAGCUGGGGAGCGAUGCAGGCGUCAGAGCAGCAACAACGGAGGACUCUGCCAGUGUAGAUGAGAAGGAAACACGCAAAGAGCAUCAAAAGCAAGUUCAACGAUCUUAUGUCAACCCAUCCACCUCUGAAUGAGGCAUAUUCAGAUGUGUGUGUAUUCAGAGCUCAAUAUGUUACAUCGACCUUCCCAACCCGCCGGCAGAGCUUAAGAAGCUCAAGCACAAGAAGUGCCUCGUCCAGUCCCCCCAACUCCUUCAUGGAUGUCAAGUGCCAACGAUGCUUCAGCAUGUCCAAUUCGCUUGUGGCAUAGGAAUCUCAUCCUAGAUUCAAUAGAGGGGCUGCAAUGCCGGCAUCGCCAUAGCUGGAAAUCGAGCACUGACGGACACCGGGCGCCGAGAUGGGCCGUCUUGUCCACCGCCGCAAGAACCGCAUGCGUUGGAGCCAUCCUUACACCUGCUCCUACUUCCGCGCCAGCAACCCAACACGCCGACGACACGAGCUCCUCCUUAUAAAAGUGACAUCUUUAUUGUAUAGAUAACGAAUGGUUAUAGUUAUUUAUUCUUGUGUCCAAGUGGUAUUGGAUUUUUUUAGCUUGGGGUUAAAGAAAAGACAGUCAUGUACUUUGCAUCUUUUUUGUAUUUAUGUUUUAUGCUAAAUUGUGGAAUAACACUAUAUUAGUUGUUAGCAAAGAAUUUCUGAGAUAUUAAGGUUGAUGAUAAUAUAUGUUGUUAUUUC